rnacentral:misc_RNA from 1 species
AACGCACAUGGCGCCCGCCGGUAAUCCGGUGGGCAUGCCUGUCCGAGCGUCAUUUCAACCCUCAGGACCCCUUCGGGGCGUCACUGGUGUUGGGGAUCGAGGGCCUUCAGGGCUCCCGCCCCCUAAAUCUAUUGGCGGCUUCCGGAGUUGUCUCCCCUGCGUAGUACUGCAUCUCGCUUUGGUGACUCCCCCGGGCCGCUGCGGCCCAGCGCCGCGAACCCCCCAAGGUUGACCUCGGAUCAGGUAGGGAUACCCGCUGAACUUAA